AGGGGACCUCUUGGUGUCUCCAUAUAUUCCGCGGAACAGCAGACACCUUUAAAUUUACGGUUCUUAUUUCCUCGACUCUCCCCUCGCGUCUGGAAUCUCUCCUCUAUUUGCUCGAUCUCUAUCAGAAAACAACCAUGGUGUGCGACAAGUGCGAGAAGAAGCUGGCGAAGGUAAUCGUGCCGGACAAGUGGAAGGAGGGCGCCAGCAACACCACCGAGAGCGGCGGCCGAAAGAUCAAUGAGAACAAGCUCCUCUCCAAGAAGAACAGAUGGACACCUUAUGGAAAUACCAAGUGCAUGAUUUGCAAACAACAAGUACACCAAGAUGCAAAAUAUUGUCAUACUUGUGCAUACUCUAAAGUUUUGUAGCCAUGAGUUUAAUGUGCACCAGAAUUUUCAAUUUCUGUCACUAAGUUGAUCUCUGUGUAGAACCUGAUAAUGAAUUGAAGUUACUUCUGAAUGCAGGGGUGUGUGCCAUGUGCGGGAAGCAAGUGCUGGACACAAAGUUAUACAAGCAAAGUAACGUAUGAUGACGUAGUGUCAUUUCUUGGAUCACAAUGUUUAUAAUUUCUUAGCUUGCUUGGUUUGCAGCGUGCUAUAGUUAAAAUUGCUUCAGACAAAGGCCACAUGGAACCUGGAUGUUGAUAUAUGUACCUCUUAUCAAUCUACAAAUGAUUGGACCCGUUGUUUAUGAGAUGAUUAACAGUCAUAAUCCUAGUGGAAUCAAUAGUAUUUGGAUCUA